rnacentral:ncRNA from 1 species
AAGUACUUAAGCUGGUGCAUCCGUAUUUGUACCAAAAUUUGUACCAAAUCUUCAAAAAUCGUUACGCAAAAUUCAUAAAGCAUUGAAUUUAAAGCGUAUUUUUUCAC